rnacentral:rRNA from 1 species
GACGAACGCUGGCGGCGUGCUUAACACAUGCAAGUCGAACGAAGUGGCGAACGGGUGAGUAACGCGUAAUCAACCUGCCCUUCAGAGGGGGACAACAGUUGGAAACGACUGCUAAUACCGCAUACUGAAGGAGGGGAUUGCGUCUGAUUAGCUAGUUGGAGGGGUAACGGCCCACCAAGGCGAUGUUCAGUAGGCGGUCUGGGAGGGUGAACGGCCACAUUGGGACUGGGACACGGCCCAGACUCCUACGGGGGGGAGCAGUGGGGAAUCUUCCGGAAUGGACGAAAGUCUGACGGAGCAACGCCGCGUGAGUGAUGACGGCCUUCGGGUUGUAAAGCUCUGUUAAUCGGGACGCGGUACCGGAAUAGAAAGCCACGGCUAACUACGUGCCAGCAGCCGCGGUAAUUC